rnacentral:rRNA from 1 species
GAGUUUGAUCAUGGCUCAGGACGAACGCUGGCGGCGUGCCUAAUACAUGCAAGUCGAGCGGAUCUUCAUUAGCUUGCUUUUGAAGAUCAGCGGCGGACGGGUGAGUAACACGUGGGCAACCUGCCUGUAAGACUGGGAUAAACUUCGGGAAACCGGAGCUAAUACCGGAUGAUCCUUUUCCUCUCAUGAGGAAAAGCUGAAAGACGGUUUCGGCUGUCACUUACAGAUGGGCCCGCGGCGCAUUAGCUAGUUGGUGAGGUAACGGCUCACCAAGGCGACGAUGCGUAGCCGACCUGAGAGGUGAUCGGCCACGACUGGGACUGAGACACGGCCCAGACUCCUACGGGAGGCAGCAGUAGGGAAUCUUCCGCAAUGGACGAAAGUCUGACGGAGCAACGCCGCGUGAGCGAUGAAGGCC